rnacentral:lncRNA from 1 species
AAUAAGGUCUUCAAAUCUGUUAGUACAGAUUACCACUAAUACAAUGAUUUAGUAAUUAAGAUUCUUACACUCUACUUAAAGGUCACGAGCUCGAAUUUCACUUCAAAUAUAAAACCCAUUAGUUUAUAAGUUUCGUGGCCAAAUUAGACUUGAUUCCAACGAGCCAAGACUAUCCAAUAAAAAUGAACAUUUUUUGAUGACUAAAUUUUCGAUAAUUUUCUUUUUAUAAUAUGAAUUCCUGUUACAGAUAA